UACGUAGGGUGCAAGCGUUUGUCCGGAAUUAUUGGGCGUAAAGAGCUCGUAGGCGGUUCGUCGCGUCGGCUGUGAAAACCUGAGGCUCAACCUCAGGCCUGCAGUCGAUACGGGCGGACUUGAGUACUGCAGGGGAGACUGGAAUUCCUGGUGUAGCGGUGAAAUGCGCAGAUAUCAGGAGGAACACCGGUGGCGAAGGCGGGUCUCUGGGCUGUAACUGACGCUGAGGAGCGAAAGCGUGGGUAGCGAACAGG
rnacentral:rRNA from 1 species